GGUAUGGUGUGGAAAGUUUUUCGGUCUGGGAUGGACUCGCGGCCUAUCAGCUUGUUGGUGAGGUAAUGGCUCACCAAGGCGACGACGGGUAGCCGGCCUGAGAGGGCGACCGGCCACACUGGGACUGAGACACGGCCCAGACUCCUACGGGAGGCAGCAGUGGGGAAUAUUGCACAAUGGGCGAAAGCCUGAUGCAGCGACGCCGCGUGAGGGAUGACGGCCUUCGGGUUGU
rnacentral:rRNA from 1 species